rnacentral:rRNA from 1 species
AGAAGCCCCGGCUAACUACGUGCCAGCAGCCGCGGUAAUACGUAGGGGGCAAGCGUUAUCCGGAAUUAUUGGGCGUAAAGAGUGCGUAGGUGGUUACCUAAGCGCAAGGUUUAAUUUAGAGGCUCAACCUCUACUUGCCUUGCGAACUGGGCUACUUGAGUGCAGGAGGGGAAAGCGGAAUUCCUAGUGUAGCGGUGAAAUGCGUAGAUAUUAGGAGGAACACCAGUGGCGAAGGCGACUUUCUGGACUGUUACUGACACUGAGGCACGAAAGCGUGGGGAGCAAACAGGAUUAGAUACCCUGGUAGUCCACGCCGUAAACGAUGAGCACUAGGUGUUGGGCCCGUUAGGGCUCAGUGCCGCAGUUAACGCAAUAAGUGCUCCGCCUGGGGAGUACGCUCGCAAGAGUAAAACUCAAAGGAAUUGACGGGGACCCGCACAAGCAGCGGAGCAUGUGGUUUAAUUCGAAGCAACGCGAAGAACCUUACCAGGGCUUGACAUCCUGCUGACAGGACCUUAACCGGUCCCUUCUUCGGACAGCAGAGACAGGUGGUGCAUGGUUGUCGUCAGCUCGUGUCGUGAGAUGUUGGGUUAAGUCCCGCAACGAGCGCAACCCUUGUCGCUAGUUACUAACAUUCAGUUGAGGACUCUAGCGAGACUGCCGAGGUCAACUCGGAGGAAGGUGGGGAUGACGUCAAAUCAUCAUGCCCCUUAUGUUCUGGGCUACACACGUGCUACAAUGGUCGGUACAAUGAGAGGCAAUACUGUGAAGUGGAGCAAAUCACCAAAACCGAUCCCAGUUCGGAUUGUAGGCUGCAACUCGCCUACAUGAAGUUGGAGUUGCUAGUAAUCGCAGAUCAGAAUGCUGCGGUGAAUGCGUUCCCGGGUCUUGUACACACCGCCCGUCACACCAUGGAAGUUGGGGGUGCCCAAAGUCGGUUAAUUAAUCUAUCGCCUAAGGCAAAACCAAUGACUGGGGUGAAGUCGUAACAAGGUAGCCGUAUCGGAAGGUGCGGCUGGAUCA